ACGGGAGGCAGCAGUCGCGAAAACUUCACAAUGGGGGCAACCCCGAUGAGGGAAUUCCUAGUGCUAGCACAAUUGUGUUAGCUUUUCUUCAGCAUAGAACACUGAAGGAAUAAGGGCUGGGUAAGACGGGUGCCAGCCGCCGCGGUAAUACCUGCAGCCCAAGUGGUGGUCGAUUUUAUUGAGUCUAAAACGUUCGUAGCCGGUUCGGUAAAUCUUUGGGUAAAUCGGGGGGCUUAACUUUCCGACUUCCGAGGAGACUGCCGAACUUGGGACUGGGAGAGGCAAGAGGUACUUCUGGGGUAGGGGUAAAAUCCUGUAAUCCUAGAAGGACCACCGGUGGCGAAGGCGUCUUGCUAGAACGGAUCCGACGGUGAGGGACGAAGCCCUAGGUCGCAAACGGGAUUAGAUACCCGUGUAGUC
rnacentral:rRNA from 2 species